ACAAGCGGUGGAGUAUGUGGUUUAAUUCGUUAUGCAACGCGAGAACCUUACCUGGUCUUGACAUCCCGGAGACCCUUAGGAAACUAGGGGUGCUUCCAUCUGGAAGAAUCUGGAGACAGGUGCUGCAUGGCUGUCGUCAGCUCGUGUCGUGAGAUGUUGGGUUAAGUCCCGCAACGAGCGCAACCCUUGCCUUUAGUUGCCAGCAGUUCGGCUGGGCACUCUAAAGGGACUGCCGGUGUUAAACCGGAGGAAGGUGGGGAUGACGUCAAGUCCUCAUGGCCUUUAUGACCAGGGCUACACACGUACUACAAUGGCCGAUACAAAGGGCAGCGACACUGCGAGGUGAAGCCAAUCCCGUAAAAUCGGUCUCAGUCCGGAUUGGAGUCUGCAACUCGACUCCAUGAAGUUGGAAUCGCUAGUAAUCGUGAAUCAGAAUGUCACGGUGAAUACGUUCCCGGGCCUU
rnacentral:rRNA from 1 species